AAGUCGUAACAAGGUUUCCGUAGGUGAACCUGCGGAAGGAUCAUUAAUGAAAUGAUAAUUUUUUGGGGUUUUUCCCUGAAAAAUAAUUCACCUUUUGUGCAUUGUUAUUAGAUAUACUUUGGUUAGAGCUUUGAUUUCAUUUAAUGGAAUCAACUUCUUGCUGACUCUAUCCUUUCUGAGGACAGUCGGCUAUGAAGCGGCCUACCAAGUUUUUUUAUCAAACUCUUGUAUUUUGUCUGACCUAAACUAUUAUAAUAAAAUCAUAACUUUCAACAACGGAUCUCUUGGCUCUC
rnacentral:misc_RNA from 1 species